GGAAACAUUCAAGGUUCAGGUUGGAUGCGGCUCUGAGCAACCUGAUCUAGUGGAAGUUAUCCCUGCUCACUGCAGGGGAGAUCAGCAGAGCACA